CCUACGGGUGGCAGCAGUGAGGAAUAUUGGUCAAUGGACGAGAGUCUGAACCAGCCAAGUAGCGUGAAGGAUGACUGCCCUAUGGGUUGUAAACUUCUUUUAUAUGGGAAUAAAAUGUUCCACGUGUGGGAUUUUGUAUGUACCAUAUGAAUAAGGAUCGGCUAACUCCGUGUCAGCAGCCGCGGUAAUACGGAGGAUCCGAGCGUUAUCCGGAUUUAAUGGGUUUAAAGGGAGCGUAGGUGGAUUGUUAAGUCAGUUGUGAAAGUUUGCGGCUCAACCGUAGAAUUGCAGUUGAAACUGGCAGUCUAGAGUACAGUAGAGGUGGGUGGAAUUCGUGGUGUAGCGGUGAAAUGCUUAGAUAUCACGAAGAACUCCGAUUGCGAAGGCAGCUCACUGGACUGCAACUGACACUGAGGCUCGAAAGUGUGGGUAUCAAACAGGAUUAGAUACCCUUGUAGUC
rnacentral:rRNA from 1 species